UGGAUGAUGUGGAUUAAUUCGAUGCAACGCGAAAACCUUACCUACCCUUGACAUGUCCGGAAUCCUGCAGAGAUGCGGGAGUGCCGAAAGGGAAUCGGAACACAGGUGCUGCAUGGCUGUCGUCAGCUCGUGUCGUGAGAUGUUGGGUUAAGUCCCGCAACGAGCCGCAACCCUUAUCAUUAGUUGCUACGCAAGGGCACUCUAAUGAGACUGCCGGUGACAAACCGGAGGAAGGUGGGGAUGACGUCAAGUCCUCAUGGCCCUUAUGGGUAGGGCUUCACACGUCAUACAAUGGUCGGUACAGAGGGUUGCCAAGCCGCGAGGUGGAGCCAAUCCCAGAAAGCCGAUCGUAGUCCGGAUUGUUCUCUGCAACUCGAGAGCAUGAAGUCGGAAUCGCUAGUAAUCGCGGAUCAGCAUGUCGCGGUGAAUACGUUCCCGGGUCUU
rnacentral:rRNA from 1 species